rnacentral:sRNA from 1 species
UUUAUAAGGAAAUCAAUUAGUACAUUGUGAAUUCUAGAAAAAUGGAAUCAUACCACAAUACCAAAACGCGAGCAUCUGGGGCAUAAGCAAAAUUUCACUUGCCAUCUUGGAAACGCUAUCAAAGUACUCCUUAUUCAGUGGCUUCCAAAAGUUAUAAUUGUUAGAAGAAGCAGAAAAUAAGUAAUUUCAACUAAAACAACACACCAACUACACCAAGCAUGGAUCAUGAGACGUUAAAAAGACUAAGAAUUUUACUAUUACCACAAACUAAUGGAAAAUUGAUUUAAGCACUAAAAUACCUACCGAUUGUGGUAUAAAUUACCAAGAUAUAAGAAAAAUGGAAUAGUGUUUUUGGAACUCUGCGUCGAACAAGAAGACUCUCCAAUAGACCAACAGUCUUCCGAACUCUCUCUUCAUCAGUUAUGAACCGAACUCUUGCUGAAAAAUAGUUGAAGAAUUGAUUGAAAAUUAAGAACACUUUGGAUUCUUGUGGAUUGGGUUCGUAACUGAAUCAUGUAACAAAAGCAUUAUGUACAGUAUAUGAUUUACAGAUCUAAGGAGAAAAUUAAACACUUAUCCAAAACAUAGAAAAUUGGAUAAUACCGAAUGAAAAUCUGCUAUUGUUUUUUGAUCUGCCAAAGAGAAUGAUGCUUUUAAACGCUUGCUUGAGCUUGAAGACGUAUUUGGCAAAACUGUAAAGUGUAAACACAUUAUAUUGAAAUGUUAUCUGCAUAUGAUAUAUUAAACAAUCUUUGAAAGCUAUAACAAAA